rnacentral:rRNA from 14 species
GUAAGUUCCGACCCGCACGAAAGGCAUCACGAUCUGGGCACUGUCUCAGCGAGGGGCUCGGUGAAAUUGCAAUGACGGUGAAGAUGCCGUCAACCCGCAGCAGGACAAAAAGACCCCAUGGAGCUUUACUAUACCUUGCCAUCGGCACAGGGUCGCGGAUGCGUAGGAUAGGUGGGAGGCUAUGAGCCAGCCCUCGCGGGGGUUGGGGAGCCGACGGUGAAAUACCACUCUUCUGCGAUUUUGUGCCUCACCCGACAAAGUUGGGGACGGUGGCUGGGGGGUAGUUUGACUGGGGCGGUCGCCUCCUAAAGAGGAACGGAGGCGC